UAUCCAACACCCAAAGCUCUAAUAUAUAGUUUUUUUAAAUACUUAGAGCGAGGUUGCUAUAAGUAGGUUAUAGCGUGUACCCUUUUAAAAUUAUAUGCUCUAAGUAUAAAUGUUUUAAUUAAUACUACUAAAAAUAAAAUGAGUUUCUUAAACAAUAAUAAUUUUUAUCCAGGAUCUAUAACACCUGUAAAAUGUUAUAACGACGCAUUGUUAGAUAAAAAAACUAUUAUACUUGAAAAUAAAGACAAAUCAGGUAUUUAUCGUUGAGUUAAUAAAUUAAACAACAAUACUUAUGUGGGUAGUGGUUUAAAUUUAUCAAAAAGAGUUGGUGAAUAUUAUAGCCAAAGUGAAUUAGAAAGAAACCCUAGACCUAUUCAUGCUGCUUUACUAAAACAUGGAUACAAUAAUUUCAGAUUAGAAAUUUUAGAAUAUUGCAGAGCAGAUGAGCUUAUUGCAAGAGAACAAUAUUAUUUAGAUUUAUUAAACCCUGAAUAUAAUAUAUUAAAACAGGCUUAUUCUUUACUAGGAUUUAAACAUAGUGCUGAAAACAUUGCAAAGUUUAAAUUAAAAAAAAUAAGUAAAGAACAUAAAGAGUUAUUAUCUUCAGUUCAUUUAGGAAAACAAGUUAGUGAAGAAACAAGAAAUAAAUUAUCUCUUGCAACCGCUAACUAUAAAAAACAGAAUCCACUUACAUCGGAAGCUUUAGCUAAUAUUACAGCUAAAACUACAGAGCGUGAGGGAGUGUCUGUUACAUUAUUAAAUAUCCAAACUAAUGAAAAAUUAGAAUUUCCCACUUUAACUAAAGCUGCGGAAUAUUUGGGUAUAAAAAGACAAGCUAUACGAAACGCAAUAAAUAGAAAAAGUGUAAUUAAACAACUUUAUCGUGUUUCAGAGAAUUAGUAGGCAGUAGAUACACCUAUGUAUUAUAAUUAUAUAAAUUACUUUAAUUUCAAUCAUCGUUGGUUGAAAUCAGGUUUAAUAACCUGUUGUCUAAAUGGAUAGUUUAUGCAAAGCUAGUUAACAAAAAACUAGCCUAGUGUAAACGGUUUAGGGAGAAAGAUUUAGCUUAUCCAAUACAGUAAGUUAUUUCUCCCGUGUAUGUCAAAAGGGAAACAGCCCAGAACAAGAGUUAAGGUUCCGAAAUUAUUUGUUAAGUGAAAUUAAGAAGGUUUUUAUUUAAGUCGACAAGGAGAUAGGCUUAGAAGCAGCCAUAAUUUGAUGACCUCGUAACAGAGCGCUUGUUAAAUUAUAAAAGCAUCGAAAAUAUAACGGAUCUAAACAAUAUACCGAAACCUUGUCCAUAACAUAUUAUAAUAAUAAAAAUUCUUAUAAUUAAAUGGGGUAGCAGAACGUUGAGCUAAAGUAUGAGUUUUAUUUUUUAAAUAAAAUUAUAGUAAUUUAACUCAAGUGAGAAUGGUGACAUGAGUAACUAAAAGAAAAUUUUCCGCCUAAAACUUAUGGAUGUAAUUAAGUAACGGCCUCUAAGUUUAUAUAAUCUAAAGAUUUAGACGAUGAGAAAAUCUUUAUUACUAAAAACAACAUUUUAGUGUAAAAUGUGCUGGAAAAAUAGUAAUAUAUUUGUUAAAGAACAAAUAAAAUAACCGUACCUAGAAUCUGAAACAAGUAAGUUAGUAGAGAAUACGAAGGCGUAAAUGAGCUAACAAUCGUAAAGGAACUCGGCAAAUUGACUACCGUAACUUCGGAAUAAGGAGGGCUCAUUAUUCUUGAUUAAUAUCAAGUAAAGAGGAAGAAGCAUGAAAUAAUGUUGUACGACUGUUUAAUUAAAACACAGCACUUUGCUGAAAGAUAAAAAAUCUAAGUAUAAAGUGUGAUAUCUGCCCGGUGCCGGCUGGUUAACAGAUAUAAUUGAAUAUACUAAUAUUUGAUGUAGACGGAAACCCCGGUUAAAGGCGGCCUUAACGUGAGGGUCCUAAGGUAGCGAAAUGCCUUGGCCGUUAAAUGCGGUCUUGCAUGAAUGGUGUAACGAUACAACAGCUGUCUCUACGAUUGACUCAGUGAAAUUGGAAUAGCAGUGCAGAUACUGCUUACCUCUAGUUAGACGAGAAGACCCUAUGCAGCUUUACUGUCACUAAUUAUAGAAUAUGAUAAACGAUUUUCAGAAUAUAAGGUAAUUGAUGGCGUAAGCUUUAUACUAAUGAGAAACCUUUAUUUUUUUUUCAUAUGAAUGAAUUGGUUUAUUAAAAUAAUUUUAAAUUAUUUUAGUAAAUUAACCUAAUUCAACUUAUUUAGAAAUAAAUAAGUAACCUUUGGUAAGGAACUAUUGCUAGGGGACAGUUUAUGUGGGGCACAGACCCUGUAAAGAGUAAACAGGAGUGUCUAAAAAUUUCUAAUUAUUUUGUUUGUUAUUUUAAGUAGUUUAACUAUUUUUAAUCAUAUACAAUUAUUUAUAUUUACUUAUGUAUAUAUAUUUAAAAUUAGGUAAGAUUUUAACUAUAUAGAAAUUAGAGAUAAUUGAAAAUAUUAUGAAGGGGCUUGGCUUCUAUUACGAAGUUUUUAAAGCCCACUAAUAUUUGCUAGCUAUUAUUUAUAAUGGUUAUGUGUUUAAUAUCUAAAAAGCUCAACGGCUAAAUCUUGCCUUACUGUUUGAUUAUCAACAAAUCUUACAGUUGCGUAAGCAGGGCAUAGGAUCACAAGAUACAACAAGGAAAGAUCUUGGAUUAUUGGAAAAGCUACGCUAGGGAUGUUUGUCCUUUAAUAUUUUAUUUAAAUAAAAUUAUUAAUACAUAUUGGGUAAAUUUCAAGAAUUACUAAUAAUAGUAAACUUGAAGCGAAGUUUAUCUUAGCAUAUAUUAUAAGAUAAAAACGUUCAACGACUAUAAGGUGAGUGAUAUGCAAUAUACAAUAAUCCUUUUAUACCACCCAACAUUUUUAUUAAGCAUAUUUUAAAGAAAAAAAAUAAAAUAAAUAAAUUAAUUACGUGUUAUUAUGAACAAUAAACAAGUUAUAAUAAAAAAAAAUUUGAGAGCU
rnacentral:rRNA from 1 species